AGUUUCAUGUCUCACAACAAUUCCAUCUCCUAUUGCAGAGAACUGGGGUCAAUGACAAUCAGUUUGCACGGGAUGUUUCGAUUUGGAAGAAGCCACCUCUGAUGCUGGUUGGACUCCUUUUGGUAAUAGAGAUCCCGAGUUGCUCUCUGUGUUCAAUCUCUCAGUUCACUUGGAAAUGCCUGUAAAAUUUCUAGUUACAAAGAACACAGGGGCCUAGAAUUCCAACUAUGCUGUGUUUUUUUCCCAGGACAUUGCAGGAGGAGAAAAGGGCAAAGUGCAUCAGCAGAAUUUUACCUUGAACCACUUCAUGGCACACUCACGGGGAUUGUUUUGCUAGCAGUGAGUUACCGUACCACCACGCGCUGGUACCAGCCUCUCCAGCCUGUGCUGAGGAGACCGCUCAGAGCAAACACAUUCCGUGACAGCCCGAGUUUGCUGCUUGAGCUAAUUCUCUACAACUUCCGUGUGGUGUUUGAAUAGCAUAAAGCAACCUCGCGAGGCAUCUGCACCAGAACUGCCUGCCCUAAUCGUGAUUGAGAACUGCUACGAGAUGGAAGCUAUUAGCCCCUUACACUUGUUCCACGGUACAGCAAUGCAGCACCACAAAUGUGGAAGGAUAAACAGGUUGCUCGCCAUCAGGAGUCAGCUGGCACAGCAGUCCCUGGUGCAUUCUUUUCCCGGAGGAGGAUACCCCCACUUCCUUCAAAGAGACAAAAAAAAACAACAAACAAACCCUGAAGGCUGCAUAAAGACACAGCGACAGCAUCUGCCCUAGGCUCUCUGUGACUCGCGUUACUGUGAUCAAAUGGCUGAACGGUGGGCAUGAUUUAGGGGAAAAGAGAUCUGCUUCUUUGCAUCUACAAUAAUUUCUUGUUUAGGACUCCACAAAUUGAAAAGCUGCUACAGGAUUCUUAAAUCAGCAUCAUUCAGUUACAAUAAUUAAGGGCAAAAAGAACUGUUUAAACUUUCAUAACAUUUGACAGCUACAACAUUAAGGUUGGCUAACACAAAGGUUUUAUCCUGUCAAGCCUUUACCUUAUUUAAUGAUCUUCAAAUUCCAACAAGAAAAGAAAAAAAUAUCUUUGCAAAGAAGUGGCAGAAGACAGGCGUACAAUUUAGGGGUGAAUGCCUCUGAAAGCUGGGUUUACUAGAGACAACUCUCCCAAAUCACAAGCCACAGUUAUAAAAGUAAGUAUAUCAUGCCAGUAACAAAUUUUCAAAACAGUUCACAGCCACUAUCCAGCCAACUAAAUUCCACAGUCCAAUGAAAUAGACUCCAAAGAACAUCUUGAGCUUUACUUCCACAUUUGCUUUGAAAUGUUGAAUUUGAAAACAAUUUCUGACAUUUAAAAGAAAUUAUGAAUUGGACAUUUUCCUAGUUUGUCUUCUACCAGUUUCUAGCACUAACAAGUGUAACCUCCUCUUUCUAUGCCAAUGUCAGUAUUUUGCAGAGGGGAAUGGAAAAAUGUGAACAUGAACCAAAAAAGUUUGACAUUACAAGUAAGAAAAUGAGAUUGAGGUAAUUGUUCUUCAGACCUUAAGGUAAAUUUAGGCUCAAUGUUUAGCUUCACUAAAUUCUCUAGCACUAAACAGUAAGAUGUUGCCUUCCUCCCCAGCGACAGUAUUACUGCCAAUGUUUUGCUCCGUCUGAUCUCUAGUUAAGACUCAGAUUCAUCCUGUCCUGGCUGGCAGUUUGGCAAUGAUGUUUACAGGGGGAUUUUCUGUUAGACUAAUUCUCUUCAGAUUCUUUGGUGAAAUCACAGAGAUCUUAGUUAGCUUGCAGCUUCACAUGCUUUUUGGGUUAACGCUGUCAGAGAACUGUUAUUAAAACCUUUAAUUAUUAACAUACGCAGAAUUAGGCAUGUACAUGGUGCCUUGCAGAGGAAAGAGUGCAGACAGUAUCAAGUCCUGUACUCCAAAUGUGUAAGAACAAAGUACAUGAUAAUCCUUCAGUUAAAAUAAGGUGUAGAGAUGGUAAUAAUGAAUACUAUAAACAUAUAAAUAUAAUAAUGACUAACAGAAACACUAAAGACAGUGAGAUGAGGUGUCACACAGUAAGUUUAAAUUAAGAUCACAACUCCAAGCAGUAAGUGCAGCAUGAAGGAAAAUGUGUAUCAGAGUUUUUAAAAAUUGUGUUUUUCUUAAAUAAUUGUGAUUAUGCAAACAGGAAGAGACAGAAACUUGUUAUCUCUCUAUAAAGACUUCAUUCUCACAGAGAGAAGGGACUUUAGACGAUGAGAAGAGGAGCGGAACAGAUGGUAGUCAUCAUUUUCUGUCAAAUACUGCAACACCAAAAGGAUGUGCCAGUGUAAACAUGUAACAAGAACAAUUCUUGCUACUCCUUCUCUGUCUUAAUAACAACUAAAUAUUUAAUUUCUCUUUGGAUUGAAGGGCUUCAUUUAGAAACGUACUACCUGUACCCACCACAUUAGAGCAAUUAACACUCAAGAUGAAGCAGCCAAGAGAACUAGGUCCUUCAAUCAAAUUAUGAUUCAUAAUACUUAGUCACUUCACCUGACAGAAAGAUCUUGUCUAUCUGUUAGACAGCAGAGUACAUCCAUGGUACAGAUGUAGUGGCCAGAGAGGCUGAACAAACUAAUAGAGCAAUAAUUAAGUAUCUUUAAGGCAGAGUUAAAAAGAAAGUAAAAUAUCCACUGCUGGGUGCAAGAAAAAGGAGAACUGCUUGAGCUGGAGAGAGAGUAAAAAAAAAAAAAAGUUUGUUCAGCCUUUACUAGUGGACUACAACUAAUCACUUCCAAUAUAUGUGUCAAACAAGAUGUUGGAGGAAUGCUGGAGAACAGCUCACUUUUCAAAGAAGAAACACAGAACAUAGCUCCUGUUCUUUACCGCAGUAGGAUCCCUCCACAAACAUGAGCACAGCUCAUUUCCUCAUUCUGACGAACAUAUUAGAACAGGGCAUCACACUACUCAAAACAGGAACUAAUGAAGCAUGGCUAGCACAAUUCCCAUAAAAAUAUUCUCAGGCCUACAAAUCAGAACGCACUCAAUCAAUAUUACUGUACUCAAAUAUAAAUAGAAGCUGAUAAUGCCACUCUAAAAACCAAAAAAGCAAACAAACAAAAGCAAAAACAAAACCACAAAACAUAAAAUCCAGAGUACAUAUCUUUAUGUUACUUAGCCAUCCUGCUAUGUGUGGAACGUGGCCAAGAGAUUAAAGCAAAUGCCAUUUUAGAAGUAGCUCUUUGUUCCACUUGCACAUACAAUGAUGCUUUUAAUUAAAAAUAAUGUGUUCAGAGGAAGAAUCUGGGAAUUUUUCAGCAGUCGCUCUCAGAAGGGGAAAAAAGUAUUUUCAGCCUUAAUUACAAAGCAGACCAAAACUCUUCAGAGAGAAAGAUGCUCUAUUUUCCAAGUCACUUUUCUUUAGGGACUUAAGCAGUAAUUAGAGCUCUGUUUGCCACAUUUGGAACUUGCACAUUAAAGAAGACUGCCCUUAUUCUGGGAUCACGUGUUGUGUGUAAAAAGUAUUCUUGCAGGCUCAGCAAAGCAAUGCACACUACCACAAAGGUUCCUCUGCUUGUCUGGAAUUUGAAUACAGCAACUAUAAUGCGAGAAAUGAGCACAGGAAUAUACACAAUAAUCAAUUCAUUUUGCCUACAGCAAUAAGCUAUACUUCAUCUUCCAUCAUGCUUUGCUACUUCUCCACCUACAAAUUACCUGACAAACUGUCACUGAAGAAACAAGAUUUUCUGGGAGUAUUACCAUUCAAAAGUUAUUAUCCCAAACCUUCUCAUUCACCUGUUGUAAUUAAUUAGAACAAAUUUGGCCAUGCAUAUGCUAUUAAGAAGUCUGAACUUAUUUCACAGUGCUUACCAUAAUAAAGCAGUGUGAUUCUAUGUCUAAAAAUAUUGAAUAUGUCUGAAAGCUUUGCUGAAAUCCUGCACAUACAGACUGAAAACAUGGUUUUACCAUAUAUAAUGACUACAUGAAAGAAGUAUCAAGGGUAUCAAGAGGAUUAAAAAAAAGAAGUUUUUAAAACACCUGAUAAUCCAAAACCUAUCUUAGACAAUUCAUAGAGACAAACAACUAUAAAAGUUACUACCAACUGUG